rnacentral:sRNA from 1 species
CUUCCGGGAUGAGCUGCGGACAGAUGAAAUGCACGUGCGGAUCAAUGCCGCCGGGGGUGAUGAUCAUGCCCUCACCCGCCAGCACUUCCGUGCUCGCCCCCACGAUGAGUUGCGGAUGCACACCGGCCAUGAGUGCCGGGUUGCCGGCUUUGCCAAUGGCGGCGAUGCGGCCGUUUUUAAUGCCGAUGUCCGCUUUGACAAUGCCCCAGUGAUCAAUGAUGAGGGCAUUGGUAAUGAGCAAAUCCGGGGCGUCCACGGCGGUGACUUGCGGCGACUGGCCCAUGCCGUCGCGCAAG